AUGACUUUCUAUUUUUGUUUGUAUCCUCAUGGUUGUUUUCCGAAAACUGAGGGAGUGAAGUAAAGGCUCAGUGACAAGCUCGGUGCUCUCACGUCAGCAGGAAAAUAAAGAGCCAGACUUCCUGGCCGUGAAAAGAGCUGCCAGAGAGAAUGACAACCUUUCAUAGUUGCUCCACAAAUCUCUUCUCUGCAAGAAAGUGCUUCGGAGAAUUACACCUGCCGUGUUCUUCUGUGACUUCCUAAUAUUACCUUAGGCAACAGCGUCCCAAGCUACAUUUCAGAGGGCACUCAGUUUAAUAGGGCGGAGGAAUGCCCCCCCUUCCUCUUCUCUUGCAAAAACUCUGUAUUUUCUAUUUCUAAUCCCUCCAGUUUACCUGAGGAGUACGAGUGUAUCAACGGUACUGAGAGUUACAGUGAUU